CUUUCGCAGACGCGCGGCGAUACGCUCACGCA
rnacentral:scRNA from 1 species